AUUCGGGGGCCGGCACCUGCCGGCCUGUCCGCUCCCUGCUUAUACUUUGCACGCUCGCAGCCACGUUUCCGCACACCUGUCCCCUUUCCACGCACCUGUGUCCGGCAGCCCGCACAUCUGUGGGAGCGCUGCCUCCUCGCCAGCUGUCCGGGAAGUUCAGCGCCGCUCUCCCACGGGCGUGAGACCGCCCCACCCACCUGUCCGUGACUGCAGCUCCGGCCGGGAGGGCGGCAGGUGAGAGGCUGGGAGGCCUCAGGUGGGAACAUACCUUUGGCCAAAGGCACCAGGUAACCCGAACGCCCCGGGGAGGACCCCUGCCUGCAUCGCCGCGGCCG
rnacentral:lncRNA from 1 species